UGUGAGCUCGAUGAGUAGGGCGGGACACGUGGUAUCCUGUCUGAAUAUGGGGGGACCAUCCUCCAAGGCUAAAUACUCCUGACUGACCGAUAGUGAACCAGUACCGUGAGGGAAAGGCGAAAAGAACCCCGGCGAGGGGAGUGAAAAAGAACCUGAAACCGUGUACGUACAAGCAGUGGGAGCACGCUUAGGCGUGUGACUGCGUACCUUUUGUAUAAUGGGUCAGCGACUUAUAUUCUGUAGCAAGGUUAACCGAAUAGGGGAGCCGAAGGGAAACCGAGUCUUAACUGGGCGUUAAGUUGCAGGGUAUAGACCCGAAACCCGGUGAUCUAGCCAUGGGCAGGUUGAAGGUUGGGUAACACUAACUGGAGGACCGAACCGACUAAUGUUGAAAAAUUAGCGGAUGACUUGUGGCUGGGGGUGAAAGGCCAAUCAAACCGGGAGAUAGCUGGUUCUCCCCGAAAGCUAUUUAGGUAGCGCCUCGUGAAUUCAUCUCCGGGGGUAGAGCACUGUUUCGGCAAGGGGGUCAUCCCGACUUACCAACCCGAUGCAAACUGCGAAUACCGGAGAAUGUUAUCACGGGAGACACACGGCGGGUGCUAACGUCCGUCGUGAAGAGGGAAACAACCCAGACCGCCAGCUAAGGUCCCAAAGUCAUGGUUAAGUGGGAAACGAUGUGGGAAGGCCCAGACAGCCAGGAUGUUGGCUUAGAAGCAGCCAUCAUUUAAAGAAAGCGUAAUAGCUCACUGGUCGAGUCGGCCUGCGCGGAAGAUGUAACGGGGCUAAACCAUGCACCGAAGCUGCGGCAGCGACGCUUAUGCGUUGUUGGGUAGGGGAGCGUUCUGUAAGCCUGUGAAGGUGUGCUGUGAGGCAUGCUGGAGGUAUCAGAAGUGCGAAUGCUGACAUAAGUAACGAUAAAGCGGGUGAAAAGCCCGCUCGCCGGAAGACCAAGGGUUCCUGUCCAACGUUAAUCGGGGCAGGGUGAGUCGACCCCUAAGGCGAGGCCGAAAGGCGUAGUCGAUGGGAAACAGGUUAAUAUUCCUGUACUUGGUGUUACUGCGAAGGGGGGACGGAGAAGGCUAUGUUGGCCGGGCGACGGUUGUCCCGGUUUAAGCGUGUAGGCUGGUUUUCCAGGCAAAUCCGGAAAAUCAAGGCUGAGGCGUGAUGACGAGGCACUACGGUGCUGAAGUAACAAAUGCCCUGCUUCCAGGAAAAGCCUCUAAGCAUCAGGUAACAUCAAAUCGUACCCCAAACCGACACAGGUGGUCAGGUAGAGAAUACCAAGGCGCUUGAGAGAACUCGGGUGAAGGAACUAGGCAAAAUGGUGCCGUAACUUCGGGAGAAGGCACGCUGAUAUGUAGGUGAAGCGACUUGCUCGUGGAGCUGAAAUCAGUCGAAGAUACCAGCUGGCUGCAACUGUUUAUUAAAAACACAGCACUGUGCAAACACGAAAGUGGACGUAUACGGUGUGACGCCUGCCCGGUGCCGGAAGGUUAAUUGAUGGGGUCAGCGCAAGCGAAGCUCUUGAUCGAAGCCCCGGUAAACGGCGGCCGUAACUAUAACGGUCCUAAGGUAGCGAAAUUCCUUGUCGGGUAAGUUCCGACCUGCACGAAUGGCGUAAUGAUGGCCAGGCUGUCUCCACCCGAGACUCAGUGAAAUUGAACUCGCUGUGAAGAUGCAGUGUACCCGCGGCAAGACGGAAAGACCCCGUGAACCUUUACUAUAGCUUGACACUGAACAUUGAGCCUUGAUGUGUAGGAUAGGUGGGAGGCUUGGAAGUGUGGACGCCAGUCUGCAUGGAGCCGACCUUGAAAUACCACCCUUUAAUGUUUGAUGUUCUAACGUUGACCCGUAAUCCGGGUUGCGGACAGUGUCUGGUGGGUAGUUUGACUGGGGCGGUCUCCUCCUAAAGAGUAACGGAGGAGCACGAAGGUUGGCUAAUCCUGGUCGGACAUCAGGAGGUUAGUGCAAUGGCAUAAGCCAGCUUGACUGCGAGCGUGACGGCGCGAGCAGGUGCGAAAGCAGGUCAUAGUGAUCCGGUGGUUCUGAAUGGAAGGGCCAUCGCUCAACGGAUAAAAGGUACUCCGGGGAUAACAGGCUGAUACCGCCCAAGAGUUCAUAUCGACGGCGGUGUUUGGCACCUCGAUGUCGGCUCAUCACAUCCUGGGGCUGAAGUAGGUCCCAAGGGUAUGGCUGUUCGCCAUUUAAAGUGGUACGCGAGCUGGGUUUAGAACGUCGUGAGACAGUUCGGUCCCUAUCUGCCGUGGGCGCUGGAGAACUGAGGGGGGCUGCUCCUAGUACGAGAGGACCGGAGUGGACGCAUCACUGGUGUUCGGGUUGUCAUGCCAAUGGCACUGCCCGGUAGCUAAAUGCGGAAGAGAUAAGUGCUGAAAGCAUCUAAGCACGAAACUUGCCCCGAGAUGAGUUCUCCCUGACCCUUUAAGGGUCCUGAAGGAACGUUGAAGACGACGACGUUGAUAGGCCGGGUGUGUAAGCGCAGCGAUGCGUUGAGCUAACCGGUACUAAUGAACCGUGAGGCUUAACCUUACAACGCCGAAGCUGUU
rnacentral:rRNA from 1 species